rnacentral:lncRNA from 1 species
CAUUGAUUACUUCUCCUGCUGUAAUAUACUGGAGGAGAGCUCCGAUCGUAUUAUGCUUGCAAGAGGAACCCGGCACCUGAUGCAUAAAUACCCUGCCGGUGCCAUUCCAUCCUUGUACUCUAUCGUAAAAAAGCCAAGUUUUUCUGUAACAAAAUGAGUGCAAUGCUGGAAAUAUAACUAAUCCACUGGGUACCAGAGCUCGCGGAGAAGGUUUCUCUGUUUCAUGAUUCUGCAGUAAACUACAAAUUCUCUGUUUUUAAGAGUUUUCAAUGUUUACUGCAAGGACAAGCACAGAUGUUGUUCUGAUCAAACUACUAGUACUCUUACCUACCUAAUAUCUAUGCUAGAACUUUAUAUUCUGGAGAAAUCUACAGUACGACAAGUGUCUGCACAACCUUCAGUGCCUUGGGGACAUCAGAUUGUUUUGAAAAGGACACAAGCCACAGUGAUCUUCAGAAGUGAUGCAUCUUAGCUACGCUUGAUGCAGUGUGCGUACUCCAAGUAAAGGAUGCAUUUCGUUGAAGAAUCAUGCUUAUGCUGAAUAUGAGAAACAAGGUAACAAAUCCUGAAAUCGACUAGCUAUUCACUAGCAUUCUUUCCCCAUAAAGUCGAAGAUUUCAAUCCAACC